CAAGUGCUGGCGUCCCUCGCUGGCCUUUUUCUUCUCUCUUCUUCGACUUCCAGGACCGACGGCAAGGUCUGGUCCACCUGGCCCAAGCAGGCACAAAAGAGGAAGACCUAUUCUGAAGGAAUUCUGAAGGAAGCUGAAAGUAUUCCUCACUGGAAAAUAAGUUGGUCAGGAAGCUCCACUGCUGCCAUGACAUUCAAAGGCACUGGCAAGACAUCUGUGGAGCUUGAAGUGGCCAUUCACCAGAUUUGAAUCACCUUCAACAUUCAAUUGCAAUGUUAAAUCCCUCCAGAAGGUAUGCACUGACUUAAUUAGAGGAACCAAAGAAAAGAACUUGAAAGUAAAGGGACCUGUUUACAUGCUCACUAAGAUACUUCCGAAUCACAACCUGAAAAAUUCAUUGCUGUGAAGUUUUAAAGAUUUGAGAUUCAUCGAAGUCCAAUAGCAAGACAAAAAGUCAGGAUGACUGGUGAUGGCUCAGGGUGCAGUGGAUGACUUUGGCAUCUUUGUUGUAUGAUCAAGCUCUAAGUACUUCACAGGACCUGCUUCAGCUGCAUUCACAGCCAUUGGAACCCGAGGUUAAGAUGAGUCAUUGACCACCAAGAACAUCUGAUGGUGAGGUAUUGGAAGCUUGAGAAGCCAGCAGCAGAAGAAGGUAUAGGAAGAGAUCAAAGAGGAAGCAGAAGAGGAAGCUUAGCCCAGGAGAAGUCACAAGAAGCCAGGAUCAAAGGUUCAGGUGUCAGAGGUGAUCCCUGCAAGGCUGAGGGAGUUUGAGCCAAGAUGACCUUGCAGCCAGGUGUGCAGGAGGAAUGGUGUAGCCAUCUAGCUUGGAAUGAAAGACAUGAGAAGCCAGUGUGUCUGAGAACUGAAUCUGAGGUAUCAGUAUCAUAUUUGUUUCAUAAAGGAGUUUGGUGUCACACUAUUUCCAUGAUGUGAUGAAGGUUCCAGAACCAGCAUAAGGAUCAUG